rnacentral:rRNA from 1 species
UGACGAGCGGCGGACGGGUGAGUAAUGUCUGGGAAACUGCCUGAUGGAGGGGGAUAACUACUGGAAACGGUAGCUAAUACCGCAUAACGUCUUCGGACCAAAGAGGGGGACCUUCGGGCCUCUUGCCAUCAGAUGUGCCCAGAUGGGAUUAGCUAGUAGGUGGGGUAAUGGCUCACCUAGGCGACGAUCCCUAGCUGGUCUGAGAGGAUGACCAGCCACACUGGAACUGAGACACGGUCCAGACUCCUACGGGAGGCAGCAGUGGGGAAUAUUGCACAAUGGGCGCAAGCCUGAUGCAGCCAUGCCGCGUGUAUGAAGAAGGCCUUCGGGUUGUAAAGUACUUUCAGCGAGGAGGAAGGCAUUGUGGUUAAUAACCACAGUGAUUGACGUUACUCGCAGAAGAAGCACCGGCUAACUCCGUGCCAGCAGCCGCGGUAAUACGGAGGGUGCAAGCGUUAAUCGGAAUUACUGGGCGUAAAGCGCACGCAGGCGGUCUGUCAAGUCGGAUGUGAAAUCCCCGGGCUCAACCUGGGAACUGCAUUCGAAACUGGCAGGCUAGAGUCUUGUAGAGGGGGGUAGAAUUCCAGGUGUAGCGGUGAAAUGCGUAGAGAUCUGGAGGAAUACCGGUGGCGAAGGCGGCCCCCUGGACAAAGACUGACGC